ACUAUCCAGCCCUGGUACCCCAGUCGAUCAGCUGCGAGGCCUGGAGUGGAGAACGGUAGAACCGGCCCAAAGGAAAGAAAGAAUGAAAAAAGGUGGGAAUCUCCAAGUGUUGAGUGAAAAAGCGCCGACCAAAGCACUCACGGUGGGCCCCAGCGCCCCUGCCCCCUUUGGGUGACCGUGGAAGUGCAACGCGCAGCUCGGAUCAGAAGCCAGUCGGGGUGAGACUCGAUCCUCCCAGGUAUCUUUCGCGAUUUGUGUGUGUCUUGCAGAACAGCUGUUUGGCGCGUCCGCCAAAAAACCGCUCGAAAAAUUCACGGUUUAUUCUCAAAAAUACUCAAAAGCCAUCCACUCGUAUGUAUGUAUGUAUGUAUGUAUGUAUGUAUGUAUGUAUGUACACCCACACAACGGAUAAUUUGGCAGCAUUCUCCAAGGCGGCUGAAAGGAUGGGAUGCGAUGCAAUGCUAUGCAAUUUAUCCCCUUACGAGCUCGAGGAAGGAAGCACUGCAGCUGCUGUAAAUUCGAUUAUUACACAACAUUCUUAUAUGUACAUAAAAGACAACUACUAUAUACUUGUACAGGUACUCGAAUUCUCGCACAGAAGAGUACUCAUCGCCCCGAUGAAUAAUCCACAACCGGAUAAGCUCUUUAGAUGUUCUUGCAGUGGCCCUAGAUCCACAAUUUCGAUUAUAAUAAUUUUAAUUAAAAAUGUUCCUUAACUCUGGCACACACAAAAAUAAUUUACCACAAGGAAAAACUACAACUUGAAUGGUUUUAAGCAUAAGCGAAUUAUGCAAAAGUUUUGGUGUUUUCCAAAAGUCUCGCCUCCCCCCCUCACGCACUUUCAGGGCAAAAAUAGAAUACACAUUUCUGAUUUUUAGUUUCCAUUAUGGCCAGCAAGAGGACGAGCAUUUACCACGAGCAUGGUAAUCCUCCCAAUCCCCAUACCAUACCAUUCCACACCCUCUACCUAUACAAACCCCAGUUGCUUAGCACUGUCAUCCAUUUGCUUACUUUGCAUAUUCAUAAUUUCAUUUUACGUAUUUCAAUUAGAAUAUCAUCAUCAUGGAACACUUGGAACAAUGGAACUAGUUGAUUGGCUCGCCGGCCGAGGGGCUACCGAUGGGGCUGCUAGAGACGAGAGGACGGAGGAUGGAGGGAAAAGUUAUGUUAUUCUUCGGCAAGGAUAAUGGUACAAAAUUGUUGAGUAGUUUUGUCUACGGCAUUAACUGAUUUACAUUGCGAAUAAAAAUGGGUGCAAUUUCCAUUAUGAA